UAUUCUGCAAGCUGAAAUCAAGUGUGAAAUGCAUACCUUCUUGGAUCAUUUCCCAUGCCAGCAGCAAGACUUCAUUAUGACCCUCCAGGACUGGAUCAUGGACCAGCCUUCAAAAACCCUAGGUCAAUUAACAGCUAUGAUGAAGAAACUGAGACUCUACAAUUGGGCCCUUGCCCACAGUCACAUGGCCAGUACAGUGGUUGCACCCAGGUCUCUUUGCUCACACUCUUCUAACUCCAAGUCCUGUAUCCGUGGUGCCUUUCUACAUCCCACUUUACACUUCCUUGAUGCUUUAAAUUGGUCACUUCAAAACUCUUUCUCCUGGGAUGCUCUUAGUAACUCUGAGACAUAAGGAUUCUAAGGAUUUCCAUCUGCAAAUCUUCAAUGUACAAAUUAGGAUUCACUUUUCCCAAGGAAGGUGAACUCUAUAAAGUAAAUCAUAUCUGCAUUGUGUUUGUACAAAAGAUAGAGAAGAAAAAAAGACAAGAAAACUAAGAGUGUAAGAGGUUAAAGUCUCAGAUUGAGGGGGUAGCAGCUGGAGUGCUGGUCUUGAAAUUAGGAAGAUCAGAUCCUGUCUUUGAUUUUUACUGGCUCUAGGAACCUAGAUAAGUCAUUUAAACUCUCAGCCCAUUUUCUACUCAGUAAAAUUGGAACAAUAAGA